rnacentral:rRNA from 1 species
AAUGAACGCUGGCGGCAUGCCUAACACAUGCAAGUCGAACGAGACCUUCGGCUCUCUUGCCGCACGGGUGCGUAACGCGUGGGAACCUGCCCUUAGGUUCGGAAUAACCCUCCGAUAGGGGUGCUAAUACCGGAUAAUUACCUCGGACCAAAGAUUUGUUGACUUUGGAAGGGCGCGCGUUCGACUAGCUAGUUGGUAGGGUAAACUCCUACCAAGGCGACGAUUCAUAGCUGGGCAGUGAGGAUGGUCAGCCACACUGGGACUGGGCCACGGCCCAGACUCCUACGCGAGGCAGCAGUGGGGAAUAUUGGACAAUGGGCGAAGGCCUGAUCCAGCACUGCCGCGUGAGUGAUGAAGUCCUUAGAGUUGUAAAGCUCUUUUACCCGGGAUGAUGAUGACGGUACCGGAAGAAUAAGCACCGGCUAACUCCGUG